UACGUAGGGGGCGAGCGUUGUCCGGAAUCAUUGGGCGUAAAGAGCCCGUAGGCGGUUCAGCAAGUCGGCUGUGAAAUUCCGAGGCUCAACCUCGGAACUGCAGUCGAUACUGCUGUGACUCGAGUCCGGUAGAGGAGAAUGGAAUUCCCGGUGUAGCGGUGAAAUGCGCAGAUAUCGGGAGGAACACCAGUAGCGAAGGCGGUUCUCUGGGCCGGUACUGACGCUGAGGAGCGAAAGCGUGGGGAGCAAACAGG
rnacentral:rRNA from 1 species